rnacentral:rRNA from 2 species
GUGCUGAAACAUCCAUCUGAAGGAGGAUUUAGCAGUAAGCAGGAAAUAGAGCGUCCCGCUGAAACUGGCCCUGAAGCGCGCACACACCGCCCGUCACUCUCCCCAAAACCGCCCACUCAGUUAAUUAAAACCUAAUAAUCAAAAGGGGAGGCAAGUCGUAACAUGGUAAGUGUACCGGAAGGUGCACUUGGAAAAAUC